rnacentral:rRNA from 1 species
GACGGGUGAGUAAUGUCUGGGAAACUGCCUGAUGGAGGGGGAUAACUACUGGAAACGGUAGCUAAUACCGCAUAACGUCGCAAGACCAAAGAGGGGGACCUUCGGGCCUCCUGCCAUCAGAUGUGCCCAGAUGGGAUUAGCUAGUAGGUGGGGUAACGGCUCACCUAGGCGACGAUCCCUAGCUGGUCUGAGAGGAUGACCAGCCACACUGGAACUGAGACACGGUCCAGACUCCUACGGGAGGCAGCAUG